UACGAAGGGGGCUAGCGUUGCUCGGAAUCACUGGGCGUAAAGGGUGCGUAGGCGGGUUUUUAAGUCAGGGGUGAAAUCCUGGAGCUCAACUCCAGAACUGCCUUUGAUACUGAAGAUCUUGAGUCCGGGAGAGGUGAGUGGAACUGCGAGUGUAGAGGUGAAAUUCGUAGAUAUUCGCAAGAACACCAGUGGCGAAGGCGGCUCACUGGCCCGGUACUGACGCUGAGGCACGAAAGCGUGGGGAGCAAAAAGG
rnacentral:rRNA from 1 species